CAUAGCGACUAUCGUGGCAUAUCAAUAAGCGGAGGAAAAGAAACUAACAAGGAUUCCCUUAGUAACGGCGAGUGAAGCGGGAAGAGCUCAAAUUUGAAAUCUUCAAGGUUUUACCUUGACGAAUUGUAGUUUAAAGAAGUGUUUUCUGUUGGAGUUUUGGUAAAAGUUCUUUGGAAUAGGACAUCAUAGAGGGUGAGAAUCCCGUAUUUGACUAUUCUUUCUAGCUGUGUGAUACACUUUCAAAGAGUCGGAUUGUUUGGGAAUGCAGUCCAAAGUGGGUGGUAAAUUUCAUCUAAAGCUAAAUAUUGGCGAGAGACCGAUAGCGAACAAGUACCGUGAGGGAAAGAUGAAAAGAACUUUGAAAAGAGAGUUAAACAGUACGUGAAAUUGUCAAAAGGGAAGCGUUUGACACCAGUGUUGUUUUCUCGAAAAUCAAUUAAAAAUGGAUGGAUUUUGUGUUGUAUUGACUUUAUCAGCUUUCUGCACUUUUUUCUUAGUCUUUUUUAAUGCACUUUUCGUUUAACAAGUCAACAUCAAUUUCUUUUGUUGUAAAAGAGUCAUUGGAAGGUGGCUUUCAUUUCGGUAGAAAGUGUUUAUAGCCUUUGACUUCUGCAAUCGGAGAGAUUGAGGUCUGCAGCGUAGAUCCUUCGGGGUUAGAUACAUUUGUGCUAAGUUAUAGCCUUUUCAUAGACAACAUUGUUGACUAUGAUCAUCAUGUAGCUUACUCGCUUAUGCUAUUUUACCUACGCUUAGGAUGUUGACGAGACUGUCGAUCUC
rnacentral:rRNA from 1 species